AAUUCAUAUUGUUCUGAAGCUGAACUCAAUGGACCCAAAUCCAUUAUCAUUUUGCACACUCCAAUCAAUUAAGUACCCAUCAUUAUCUUGAUGAUUGAUUUCUGUUUGUUUCUUCAACUCAUUCUGUUAGGAUUCGAGACCAAAUUUCACAGGAACUUGAAGAGAAAUAAUAAAGAUGAAGUGGAUUCAUUUCUGAUCAAAUUUGUUUUCUUCUACUCAUUCAUAUUUUUGCUGGUGAAACAUGGGCAAAGCUUCUGAAUGCCUUUUGUACUAAAAGUUGAAGCUUGGGUUAUGAAGACACCAAGACAUGGCCAAAGCUUCUGAAUACCUCUGUAACCAAGACGUGCUUGCAGAAGAUGUGAUUCUUCAUUGGUUCCGCUAAGGGUUAAACCCCAAGGGAAGAAGGAGGCAGGAGAUGGUACUGACCAUGAAGAUUACUAUUUAAGCCUAGAAUCCGUCUCUCAUCAAAUGUAUUAUGCAUCCAAUUUCCGAGAGCCUCAAAUACAGGUUGCCAAAAAGGUGAUCUAGAAAUAUUGUGGUACUGGUGAAAGGAAUGAAGUGAAAAAAGUGAAAAAAGCUUCUGAUUUCAGAAGCACAAUAUAAAAAUCAGGAUCAUCAUAUUUUCACUAUGAACGUGCAGUGUUUCAUCCCGAUGAAGUUGCUUCCCAUGUAUCUACGUGAGUAUUCGUUUUUUCUAAACAUCUCGGUUACCACAACAAACAUGUUAGCCUAGUGAAUUUAACAUGUUAGCAUGUGAUAUUUAUCUGGGUGAAAAAACCAUCAUCUUUAUAUUAUGCUUGUUUUACUUUAACAUUCUCUAGUGAAUUUUCUAAAACUUUAUGCAAAUAUAUUUGGACGAUAUUCUUUGGGAAAUACUGCUAAAUGACUGUUGUUUGUCUGGGUCCAUAGAUUCUUUAAGAAUCCAUUUUUACUGUUUUGUAUAUCCCUUCCGACAUGCUUGUCACUGGAGAAACUGAG